rnacentral:rRNA from 1 species
ACGAACGCUGGCGGCGUGCUUAACACAUGCAAGUCGAACGGAAAGGCCCUGCUUUUGUGGGGUGCUCGAGUGGCGAACGGGUGAGUAACACGUGAGUAACCUGCCCUUGACUUUGGGAUAACUUCAGGAAACUGGGGCUAAUACCGGAUCGGAGCUCCUGCUGCAUGGUGGGGGUUGGAAAGUUUCGGCGGUUGGGGAUGGACUCGCGGCUUAUCAGCUUGUUGGUGGGGUAGUGGCUUACCAAGGCUUUGACGGGUAGCCGGCCUGAGAGGGUGAACGGCCACAUUGGGACUGAGAUACGGACCAGACGCCUACGGGAGGCAGCAGUGGGGAAUAUGGCACAAUGGGCGGAAGCCUGAUGCAGCAACGCCGCGUGCGGGAUGACGGCCUGCGGGGUGUAAACCGCUUUCGCCUGUGACGAAGCGGGAGUGACGGUAAUGGGUAAAGAAGCACCGGCUAACUACGUG